GGCCUGAUGGUCUAGUAGUAUGAUUCCUUGUUAGGGUGUCCCGUGAUUAUAUAAUCCGGGAAUCACGUGACCUCGAGGAGGUCCUGGGUUCAAUUCCCAGUUAGGCCC